UACGGAGGGGGCUAGCGUUGUUCGGAAUUACUGGGCGUAAAGCGCGCGUAGGCGGCUUUGCAAGUCGGGUGUGAAAUCCCCAGGCUUAACCUGGGAACUGCAUCCGAGACUGCAUUGCUAGAGUAUGGGAGAGGGAAGUGGAAUUUCAGGUGUAGCGGUGAAAUGCGUAGAUAUCUGAAGGAACAUCAGUGGCGAAAGCGACUUCCUGGACCAAUACUGACGCUCAUGUGCGAAAGCGUGGGGAGCAAACAGG
rnacentral:rRNA from 1 species